ensembl:lncRNA
GGGGUCACCAUUGGGAUCGGUGGGAUGGAUGGGGUGGGUGGGGACACCUUUGGGAUGGGUGGGAUGAGUGGGGUUCGCAUUGGGAAUGGUGGGAGGGGUGGGAUGGAUGGGAUGGGAGGGAUCAUUGGUGGGAUGGGUGGAAUCAGUGGGAUGGAUGGGAUGGGUGGGAUGAUGGGAUGGAUGGGAUUACGGCUGGGAUGGAUGGGGUCAUCGGUGGGCUUAUGGGAUGGUGGAAUGGGUGGGAUCACCAGUGGGGUCAUGGGACCAAUGGGUGACAUGGGUGGAUCGUCCAUGGCAUGAGUGGGAUCGCUGGGAUUGAUGGGAUAAUUGGUGGGAUGGGUGGGAUGAUGGGAUGGGGGGAUCGUAGGUGGGAUUGGUGGGAUCAAUAGGAUGGAUGGGAUCAUUGGUGGGGUCAUGGGAUCGAUGGGUGACAUGGGUGGGACCAUGGAUGGGAUCGUCAGCGGCAUCCAUGGGAUCAGUGGGAUCAGUGGGAUGGAUGGGAUCAUCAGCAGCAUCCAUGGGACCAGAGGUAUUGCUGGGAUGGAUGGGAUCAUCAGAGGCAUCCAUGGGAUCAGUGGGAUCAGUGGGAUGGAUGGGAUCAUCAGUGGGGUCAUGGGAUCAGUGGGAUUUCUGGGAUGGAUGGGAUCAUCACUGGGAUCCAUGGGAUCAGUCGCAUCGUUGGGAAGGGUGGGAUCAUCAGUGGGGUCAUGGGAUCAAUGGUUGACAUGGGUGAGGUCACUGGUGGCAUCAGUGGGAUCAGUGGGAUCGCUGGGAUGGAUGGGAUCAUUGGUGGGAUGGAUGGGAUCAUCAGUUGGGAUGGGUGGGAUCAUCAGUGGGGCCAUGGGAUCAGUGGGAUUGCAGGGAUGGAUGGGACCAUCAGUGAGGUCAUGGGAUCAGUGUGAUCGCUGGUGUGGAUGGGAGCAUCACUGGGAUCCAUGGGAUCAGUGGGAUCGUUGGGAUGGAUGGGAUCAUUGUUGGGGUCAUGGGAUCGAUGGGUGACAUGGGUGGGAUCAAUGGUGGGAUCAAUGGGAUGGAUGGGAUCAUUGGGGUCAUGGGCUCAAUGGGUGAUAUGGGUGGGAUCAGGGAUGGGAUCAUCAGCGGCAUCCAUGGGAUCAGUGGGAUCAGUGGGAUGGAUGGGAACAUCAGUGGGGUCAUGGGAUCAGUGGGAUCGCUGGUGUGGAUGGGAUCAUCACUGGGAUCCAUGGGAUCAGUGGGAUCGUUGGGAUGGGUGGGAUCAUCAGUGGGGUCAUGGGAUCAGUGGGAUUGCUGGGAUGGGUGGGAUCAUUGGUGGGGUCAUGGGAUCGAUGGGUGACAUGAGUGGGAUCAAUGGUGGGAUCUAUGGGAUGGAUGGGAUGAUUGGUGGGGUCAUGGGAUCGAUGGGUGACAUGGGUGGGGUCACCAAUGGGAUCAUCGGUGACAUCAGUGGGAUCAAUAGGAUCACUGGAAUGGAUGGGAGCAUCAGUGGGAUGGGUGGAAUCAUCAGUGGGGUCAUGGGAUCAAUGGUUGACAUGGGUGAGGUCACUGGUGGCAUCAGUGGGAUCAGUGGGAUUUCUGGGAUGGAUGGGAUCAUUGUUGGGAUGGAUGGGAUCAUUGUUGGGGUCAUGGGGUCGAUGGGUGACAUGGGUGGGGUCAUGGAUGGGAUCAUCAGUGGCAUCAGUGGGAUCAAUAGCAUCGCUGGGAUGGAUGGGACCAUCAGUGAGGUCAUGGGAUCAGUGGGAUCGCUGGUGUGGAUGGGAUAAUCACUGGGAUCCAUGGGGUCAGUGGGAUCUUUGGGAUGGAUGGGAUCAUUGUUGGGGUCAUGAGAUCAGUGGGAUUACUGGAAUGGGUGGGAUCAUUGGUGGGAUCGGCGUAGUGGAUGGGAUCAGUGGGAUCAUCAGCGGGAUGUAUGGGAACACUGAGACUGGGAUAGCUGGGAUGGAUGGGAUCAGCAGCGGCGUCAUGGGAUCGAUGGUGACAUCACCAGUGGGAUCAUGGGUGGCAUCAGGGGGAUCGUUGGGAUGGGUGGGAUCACUGAGGGAUGGAUGGGAUGGGUCGGAUCGCUGCUGGCAUCAGUGGGAUCGGGGGGACCAAUGGCAUUGCUGGGAUCGCAUGGAUGGAUGGGAUCGUCGGUGGGUUAUGGGAUCAAUGGGUGACAUGGGUGGGACCAUGGAUGGGAUCAAUGGGAUGGUUGGGAUCAAUGGUGGGAUCAAUGGGAUGGAUGGGAUCGUCGGUGGGGUUAUGGGAUCAAUGGGUGACAUGGGUGGGGUCACUGGUGGGAUCAUGGGUGGCAUCAGUGAGAUCAGUGGGGUCGCUGGGAUGGAUGGGAUCAUCACUGGGAUUGUUGGGGUUGGUGGGACGGAUGGGAUCAUCACUGGGAUUGGUGGGAUGGAUGGGAUGGAUGGGAUCAUCACUGGGAUGGAUGGGAUCAUCACUGGGAUUGGUGGGACGGAUGGGAUCAUACUGGGAUGGAUGGGAUCAUACUGGGAUGGAUGGGAUCAUCACUGGGAUUGAUGGGACGGGUGGAAUCAUACUGGGAUGGAUGGGAUCAUCAGUGGGAUUGGUGGGAUGGAUGGGAUGGAUGGGAUCAUCACUGGGAUGGAUGGGAUCAUCACAGGGAUUGGGGGGAUGGAUGGGAUCAUACGGGGAUGGAUGGGAUCAUCACUGGGAUUGGUGGGAUGGAUGGGAUCAUACUGGGAUGGAUGGGAUAAUCACUGGGAUUGGUGGGAUGGAUGGGAUCAUACUGGGAUGGAUGGGAUAAUCACUGGGAUUGGUGGGAUUGGAGGGAUGGAUGGGAUCAUCACUGGGAUUGGUGGGAUGGAUGGGAUCAUACUGGGAUGGAUGGGAUCAUCACUGGGAUUGGUGGGAUCACUGGGAUCGGUGGGAUCGCUGGGAUGGAUGGGAUCACUGAGAUGUCUGGGAUUGGUGGGAUGGGUGGGAUCAACACUGACGUCAUGUGAUCGAUGGUGACAUGGAUGGGAUCACAAAUGGGAUCAUAGUUGGUAUCAGAGGGAUCACUGGGAUGGAUGGGAUCAUUGGUGGGACUGCUGGGACGUGCGGGAUGGAUGGGAUCAUCAGUGGGGUCACGGGACCAAUGGGUCACUGGUGGCAUCAUCGGUGGGAUCAGUGGGAUUGCUGGUAUCACUGGGAUAAAUGGGACCAUCUGUAGGAUGGGUUGGAUUGCUGGGGGGGUCAUGGGAUCAAUGGGAGACACGUCACCAUUGGGAUCAUCGUGGGGUCAUGGGAUCAAUGGGAGACAUGUCACCAUUGGGAUCAUCGUGGGGUCAUGGGAUCAAUGGGAGACACGUCACCAUUGGGAUCAUCGUGGGGUCAUGGGAUCAAUGGGAGACAUGUCACGAUUGGGAUCAUCGUGGGGUCAUGGGAUCAAUGGGAGACACGUCACCAUUGGGAUCAUCAGUGGGGUCACGGGAUCAAUGGGAGACAUCACCAUUGGGAUCAUCAGUGGGGUCAUGGGAUCAAUGGGUGAUACGUCAACAUUGGGAACACCAGGGGGUCAUGGGAUCAAUGGGAGACAGGUCACCAUUGGGAUCAUUGGUGGGGUCAUGGGAUGGAUGGGCGACAUGACACCAUUGGGAUCAUUGGUGGGGUCAUGGGAUCAAUGGGAGACACGUCACCAUUGGGAUCACUGGUGUGGUCAUAGGAUGGAUGAGUGACGUCACCAUUGGGAACACUGGUGUGGUCAUAGGAUGGAUGGGUGAUGUCUCCAUUGGGAUCAUCGGUGGGGUCAUGGGAUCAAUGGGUGACAUGACACCAUUGGGAUCAUCGGUGGGGUCAUGGGAUGGAUGGGUGACACGUCACCAUUGGGAUCAUCGGUGGGGUCAUGGGAUCAACGUGUGACAUGACACCAUUGGGAUCAUCGGUGGGGACAUGGGAUGGAUGGGUGACGUCACCAUUGGGAUCAUCAGUGGGGUCAUGGGAUCAAUGGGAGACACAUCACCAUUGGGAUCAUCGGUGGGGUCAUGGGAUCAAUGGGAGACACGUCACCAUUGGGAUCAUCGGUGGGGUUAUGGGAUCAAUGGGGGACGUCACCAUUGGGAUCAUCAGUGGGGUCAUGGGAUGGAUGGGUGAUGUCACCGUUGGGAUCAUCGGUGGGGUCAUGGGAUCAGUGGGAGACAUGUCACCAAUGGGAUCAUCAAUGGGGUUACGGGAUGGAUGGGUGACACGUCACCAUUGGGAUCAUCGGUGGGGUCAUGGGAUGGAUGGGUGACGUCACCAUUGGGAUCAUCGGUGGGGUCAUGGGAUCAGUGGGAGACACGUCACCAUUGGGAUCAUCGGUGGGGAUACCGGAUCAAUGGGUGACAUCACCAUUGGGAUCAUCGUUGGGGUCAUGGAAUAGAUGGGUGACAUCACCAUUGGGAUCAUCGGUGGGGUCAUGGGAUCAGUGGGAGACACGUCACCAUUGGGAUCAUCGGUGGGGAUACCGGAUCAAUGGGUGACAUCACCAUUGGGAUCAUCGUUGGGGGUCAUGGAAUAGAUGGGUGACGUCACCAUUGGGAUCAUCGGUGGGGUCAUGGGUUCGAUGGGAG